AAAAAAAUAUACAAGAAAGUGAAAGACUAUGCUGAUGUGCACUGGGAAUACUACCAGCAAGGAAAGAGGGCGCUUCAUGUGGCAAGAGUUUAGAGCUGUGCCAUCAGCAUGAUGCCCUGUGGUUUUUAUCACAUCAUCUUUAUACACCUUGCCUGAUAAUGUCGUGUGUAUUAUUGAUAAUUUAUGUACAUUAUCGAUCUGGAGAGGUUUCCUAAAACUACUCCCUCGUUAUUUCCCAUCAUUUGGCUCCAUGUUAAUAUGAUUGAAGGUAUUGCGGCUAAAAUCCAUUUAGGCACGGUUUGGCAUUAUUGUUCAAAAUCAAUUUAGUAUUCAUUGUAAAAAGUUUUUUAAAAAACAUUUUCAACCACGGUAUCAAACACACUUGCAUACGACCACACGAUGGAUACAAGUUUAUCUCAUAAGUUCAUAACCAUUCUAAUAAUAACUAGAUGUUAUUAUUGGGUUCUUGAAUAUCUUAUAUGUAGUGAAAACUAUGAAACAAAAUUAUUCGAGAGUCUUUAAAAUCCUAUUAGAUAGAUUUACAGUUAUUUAGAGAUUUAUUACCUGAAAAUCUGAUCUUCUUUGACUUUGAAUAAUUAUUUAAAGGUUGAGUUGUUACAAACCACAAGCCUUCCAAUUAUCCACACGAACUAUCCAUGAGAAAUCUCUAUUUAAGAGAGAGGGAUUGCUAUGCUUAUAGUGCUAGCUCUAAUAUUGUGUUUAUGUAGUUUUCUAUCUAAUGGACAACCACUCCUCCCUUUUUAAAAUAAGAGAUAUAACGUACUAUUUAUAGAAAAAUAUGAAAAACCCUAUAAAUUAGCAAAAUAUUAAUUUGCCCCCUGAAUAAUAUUUAUAUAUUAAUUCAGGAAAUUUUUAGAAAUUAACUCAAUCAAGUCCUUACUUGAUUUUUCUAGGUCUAGAAAUAUAAUCUAUGCAUUAAUUAUAUUCUAGUCCUUAAGUUCUAAGAUAUAUUUUUAAUUAAGUCAAACUUAUAUUAAAUCAUCUCAGUUUCAUUUAUGAUUAAUGAUUCUUAAUGUAUGUAACUAUUAGGUUCCUAAUAUGUUGGCUCAAAUAUACAUUUCAAUUCUAAUUAAAUUAAAUAAUUUAUUAUUAAUUCAACAAUUGAUUAAUUUAUAUUUGAAGAUUAGGUGCAUCGUCUAGUAAAGUGUCAUAUUCCUCUAAGUAUUAGAAAAGUCAUUAGUGGUCUAACUCAACUUUUUAGUGACUGGUUUCCCAAUGCACUUAAUAUUAUUUCUUCAAUAAUGUUCCAAUUUAACAUUAAAGCAUGGAGUAUGACUAUCAUGUUAAAUCAUGUUUUCUACAUAAUAGUCAUUGAUUAUUUGAAUAAGAUUUGAAACCCUUUUCAAAUCUCAUUCUACCUUAGCCAAGGAUUUCUCAGUCAAUAUUAUUUGAGAAGUGAUGGAACAUUUUUUCUAAUUCACUUAGGGUGAUGAUUCCUUUAUUGAUCACUCAAGUACCUUCAUAUAGUUCAUGUUAUACCUAAUAUCUACCAUUUUGUUACCUCGAUUAAGAUAACAUGUAACAAGAUCAAAACAUAACAUUCUUUAUAUAUGAUGACUUCGUGAUCUUAGAUCAGUUCAAUGUAAGAAAAAUCAAUCUUCCUCCCGCCGGGGGCCCGCUAUGCCAAAAGAGAGAGAAACCCCAUCCCUCUCUUUCCUUUUUACGUCCCCAUGUCGCCGCGCGGGAAGGACACGGGGGCGUAAAAAAGGGGAUGAAUUUCUAAUGAUCGUCGUGUUCCGCAUGCUGGAUCUUCUACUAUUCUAUAUUCUUCCCGAAAGCGUACUAAUCCCUAUAUUGUGCGGAGCUGAGCAUCUUCUAUUCGCUGGGAUAAAUCUUUUCCUCUGCAGGGGCCUUGUGCAGUAAACCCCCAUUAACCGCAUCCUUUGGCGUAACUGGUUAUUCCUUAACUUGGGACCAAAUUGGUUAUUGGGCAGUCAAAAUUGUAACAGGCGUGCCGGAAGCUAUUCCGGUAAUAGGAUCUCCUUUGGUAGAGUUAUUACGUGGAAGUGCUAGUGUAGGACAAUCCACUUUGACUCGUUUUUAUAGUUUACACACUUUUGUAUUACCUUUUCUUACUGUCGUAUUUAUGUUAAUGCAUUUUCCAAUGAUACGUAAGCAAGGUAUUUCGGGUCCUUUAGAAAUAUAAGAAAGACGACAUUAAAAUGAAAGAAUAAAGUAUAAAAUAAGAAAAGUAUAUGAUAUGGUAGUAGUUUAAUGCACAUAGAAAUUAGAAGAGUACAUAAAAAUAUUUCUUUUUAUAAAUAUCACAAACAAGAUCCAAGAAUAAGAUUCGUUUGAUAGAAUGAGAUCUGAGGAUCAACUGGUAACGAAAGAGGGGAUAACUUGUUCCUUGAAUGAUUCUUUCAAAAAAUUCAUCUAUUGGAUUGAUGAGUCGUCAUAAAAAAACUCACGGUUUUUUGAGUUAAUUUGAGUGUUAAUUAGAAGAAAUUAAAGUUUGGUGAUUGAAAUUAGACUUUGAAAGGUUUAAUUGGUUAAAUCAAAGGCUUCAUUAUGAAAAAAAAUAAAGUUCAGAGGCCAUUUAAGGACUUAAUUUCAGAUUCCCAAGACCAAGGACUAACCUGUAAGUGGCGUGUAAUUUUGAGGGUAGAAAUUGGUCAAAUUAGGAGUUAAAUUGAAAGGAAUUGAAAUUUUGAUGGUUAAUUAAGGAUAAAAUUGAACAAAUUAAAAACCAAUGACUCGUCUAUAAAGGGUGCUGAACUUUAGGGCUGAUAUUUAAAUUUGACAAGGAUGCAAUUGUAUGCAAUUAAAAGGAAUUGAAAGAGUAGGGAUCAAAUUGAAAUUGGGCAAAUCCCAAAUUAAAAAAAAAAACUCUAAUUAUUAGGGUUUACUUAGAUGACAUGUUAUUCACCCAUUGUUCAUGCCCUUCCUUGGAAAUUUUGGAUGAUCGUGUAAGCAUGAUCAACGUAGCAUGCCUAUAAAAUUGGACGUUUACACUCCAAUUCUUCCACAGAAGUCUCCAACAUCUUGUUCCCGAUCCACUUCCUUGUAUUUUCAGAUUUUAGGCUGAUCAAGUUAGUAUAUUAAAACGAAUAAAUGUGAAGCUACGAACCUCCAAAUUGAGCAAGGUUGGAUCCAAAUAAAAGCUGUGCACUUCCUCUACCAACUUCAGGUGGUUUCUGAUGAUGUUUACAUUAAAGUUGCUCUGGAAAAGCCUCGAAAAUGGUCAACCAAAUCAACCUUGAUUGUGACACUUAUUUGUUUUUCAAAAAACCUAUUUUUUUUCUUGUGUUCAUACUUAAAUCUUCUCAAAGGGUUCUUAUCAAUGACUUUAAAAGUUUCUUCUCAAAAUCAAAAGGCCACAAAUAACUAUUUCCCUUUAAAUCUAGCAAAACCAUCAAGUACCCCUAAAACCAAAACCACUAUUGCAUACAAAAGCUUCCAAAUGUUAGCUUUUGUCCAUAACCCUCUCACUUUGAUUAAAGGGGUAGGCUUUGAUCAAUCUUUGAGGGAAUUCACUGAAAAACCUAGAAAAACCUUAAAAAUACCUUUGGAAAUUAGAGGAGAAAGAAAGGAGAGGAAAAACAUAGGAAAAUACUAUGUUAAUAGACCUAAUAUAGAAAGGUCUAAAAAGCUUUAGAAAGAAAGAGAGUGAAAGGGAAAAAAAGAGAAAAAAAGAGUAGAAAAAUAGUAGCCUAUAGUCAACAAGCUUGGAAAAGGAAUAACCAUGUAAAAACUCAAGGGUGGAGUCCAUGUGGCCUGCCCAUUCAUGCUUUCUUAAUGUUUAAACAUUUUUCGAUGUUUUUUGAACUUGUUUUAGUGUUAUGAUAUUUUCUAGUUUUGUUUUGAUUAAUAUGUAAAACUGUUGUUUUUAUUGUUUAAAUCUUUUAUGUUACUAAGUGUCAAGACAAUAUGUUUGUGACUGAUAUUGAUAAAAUAAGGUAGUCUUGGAUUCUACCAAAGGGUGGUAGUGGGUGUUUAAUGUCUUUUCUAUUUUGUUAUUGUAUGUUUUUGGUUUCUGAGCAUGGUUUGGGUUCCAAGUGUUUGAAGAGUUAGUUUUGAAUUGAAAUUUGAUGUUUUUGUUGGCUUCAUUGAGGCUAUAAUUUUGGAGUUGGAAUUUAAUGCAUGUUUAUGAUGAUUUGAUAUUUUUUGUUCAUUCUUUGGAUUCAAUUAUGAUUGAUAUUGGUAAUGUGGGUUGUGAGGAACAAAAACAGUGUGUUUAGAGGCCUAGAAUGCCAAAUCUAGGUUUUGGCAUUAGUUCUUUAAUUUUUUUUUUUUUUCAGAUUAUGGGUUCAUAUUCUUCGCAUGAACUUUGCCUUAACCUCUUAUUUUUAAUUUUUUUUGGGUUACUUGUUUCCAUAGACAUAUUAGCUCGUCAUCUUUACCAAAUUAUAUAGGGUUAAAAUGGAUAACACAUAUUCAUGGAUUUAGAUUCUAAGGUUUUUUUUACUGCCCAAACAAAUUUUGAUCAAAUUGUGGCUUUUGAUUGUCAAUAAAAAAAAAUGAAUGCUUGAUUCUUGAUUUAUGCAUGAUUAUGAACAAAAUUGUGCCUUUGAUUGCACGAAAAAUUAUGUUGUUUGUGAUUUGUGUUUGCUGGGUUUCGGUUUGAAUGCUCAUCAUGUUCUUGGUGUUUGAUCUGAUUUUGUAAGAUAUUUUUAUGUUUUUUUGAGUUUUUAUCUAUUUUUGGUUUAAUUGUAUGUUUCGCUUUAAUUUCAGCUCAAACCAUAGUUUUAGGUUUGAUUCAGGAUUGAACCAGUGUUUUCAAGUCAACCUAAUUGGUUUUUUUGGGUCACAAAAACCUUGAGUUAAAAUUUAUUUGAAGAACAAAACUGUUUAAAACUUAUAAACUAGAGUAUAAUAAAUAAAAUUUGUUUAUAAAAGUCCAUUUACCCUUUUAAAGGGGUGGAAAUGAGAAAUUAACAUAUAUUCUAGAAAAGUGGGAAUGAUAAGGGAGAUGCUAAUCAAUAAUGUGAUGAAGGACUAAAGUGUAUAAGAGAAAAGUGGAGAUACUAGGAAUUGUUUUGACAUUAACCAAACAUGACCUACCAUCACUUAUGAGAGAGUAUAAAUACCUUGAGAGAAAACUUAUAUAUUUUCUUCUCCCUCUCAUUUGGUCAGCACAACAAAAGAAAGAAAAAGAAUCAACCUCCCUCGUACACAUUUCACACCCAAAAACCUCUUACAUGUUACAUACACUAAACACUUACAUGAGAAAAGAGUGAUUGAAUAGUAUAGAACUAUAAAAUUAUGAAACAGAGGUAAAAAGGGGAAGAAAGAAAAAAAAUCAUCAUCAAGAAAACAUCCUCAAUUCUUAGGUAAAUUUGUAAGGUAAGGAUAAACAUUUGCUCUUCUAUUGUUAUUUUGAUUUAAUUUGAAUCCAAAGGGAGAAAACCCAAAAUAAUUAAUCCAGGGUUCCUAAAACCCUUAUGAUUUUGAAAGACCAAUUGAUGAAAUUAGAAGGUUGAGAUGAGAAAUGAACAUUUUCAUACUUAAAAAAAAGUAGAGGGGAAUCUUUCAAUCUUAUUUUAUGCUAUUUGUGAAUGUUUUGUACUCCAUAAAGUGAAUUGAUGGAUGGUGUAGUAUGUAGAAUUGUUUUGAACAUCUUUUCCAAUUUCUUUGUUUUGCAUUUGAAAUAAUUAUGUUGACCCUUGAUGCAUUUGAAAUGAUUAUAUUAACCCUUGACAUUGUGUGAAACAUUGUGCCAUAAUGAUAAUGGUUAAAUUCUGGCCCCUAAUAGACUUUAUACGAAGGAAAUUUCUAAUGUGAGAUAUUGAAUUGGUGCCUGGAUAUAUGGACACAAAAGUGAACAGUUUUGAAGAUCUGAAUUCCAGUUAAUAUUAGACAUUGAAUUUGAAUGAAAUUGUAUAACUUUUCAUAUGAAAGUUGUAGAGAGAUAAGUUAGCUAACAUUUGGCACUGGUCUUGCCUCAAUUUGAGUUAUAGAACUCUAGAUACAAGAAAAAUACCAUUAAGAGGUCAAGCUGUUUGUAACAGGAUAGUUUGGUUAUCAGAAUUAAAACUAUUGUUAGACAUAAAAGAUAAUAGAAAUUGUUGUAACUUAUCAUAUAAAAGUUGUAGAGGAAUGAGUUAGCUAAUAUUUGGCAAUGGUCUUGUAUCAAUUGGAGUAAUAUAACUCCAAAAAUUGAUAAAAAACCGUUGAAAGGUCAUACUGCUCGUAACAGGGCAGUUUCGCUGGUUAGGACUCCCACUAAUAUUAUACAUUUAAUUUGAUGGGAAUUGGUGCACAUUUUCAUAUAAAAGUUAUACAUAAAUGAAGUAUCUAACGUUUUGAACUAGUCUUGUAUCAAUUGAAGUUGUAGAAAUCCAGAAAUUGGUAAAACAUCGUUGAAAGGUCAAACUACUCAUAACAUGACAGUUUUGUUGGUUAGAACUCCCACUAAUAUUAGUUAUUGAAGAUGAAGGAAUUUGCCACAAAUUUGCGUAUAAAGGUUGUAGAUAAAUGAAUUGGCUAACUUUCAGCACUAGUCUUACCCCUAUUGGAGUUAUAGAACUCCAUAUAGGGUCAAAAUACUGAGAGGAGGUCAGGCUGAAACUUACUAGACAGAUUUACUAUCUAACUUCUAGUUCGGGUUUGGAUUUAGUAUUGACAGAUUAUGAUGCAUGAUCCUUCUUGAGGUUUUGAAAAUAUAUGUUUCCUUUCUAUUGACAUAAAUGUUUCUUUAUUUGGAGUUAUGAGACUUCGGUUCUGAGUCAUAGGACACUGAAUUUCGUUGACACAAAACUGAGUCAUAGGACACUGAUUUUCAUUGAUAGAAACUGAGUCGUGCGAACACCUGCAUGUUGAUGUACCCAACCUUGAAAAUAUACUUGAUAUGUAUUUGUAUGUUAUGAUGAGAAAAUGAACAUGUAUGGAAAGUACCAUAUGUGUAAUGGAUGAAUAUGGAGUUGCUAUAACAUUUGGCUUGAAGGAAACAUGACCAAAGAUUUCUUUAUGAUUAAGGAGGAGUGACUAGGAUUGGAUCCUCUGCUGGAGGAGGUCACGAGACAAGUGGAGUAGGUGCGUAGUUUUCCUUCCUUUUACACUUACACAAUUUAAUUCUUAAGAGGAAUGCAAUUACAAAUAUAUAUUAUGCUCAUUGUAAGUAAGGACUGGUAUAUUUAUGAGAUUAGCUUUGGCUAAUGUCAUCCAUGAUAGGAUAGCCGGGGAAAUGAAUUAUGAGAUUAGCCUAGGCUAAUGGCAUCCGUGGAGGAUUUGUUGGGAAAUGAAUUAUAAGAUUAGCCUCGGCUAAUGGCAUCCGCGUUGGGACUGUCGAGAAUGAUUAAUAAGAUUAACUUCAGCUAAUGGCAAUUGCAUUAGCAUUGCCGGAAAGUGAUCAAUAAGAGUAGUUAUGGCUAACGGUGUCCAUAUUGGGACGCUUGGGAACGAUCAAUAAGAAUCAAUCCGUAAAGGGUAUCCAUGUUUGGAUGACCUAGGAAGAUUUGAUAUGUACAAUUGUCCAAAGUUGUCCAGGUUAAACUAUGCAAUGUUGAAGACUUAGUGAACCCAAUUAAACAAAGUUACUAGGUUCAUGUAAGAAAAUAAGAGUAUUCAAUUAAAAAUGCGUAAAUGAUGUCUAAUUGAGUUUUAAAUGAUUCUCAAGAAAUUUAUAGGUUGAUUGUUAGAAUUCCUAGGAAACUAAUAGAAAACUUAUGCUUUAUUUGUAUUCAUUAUAUGAUUAUUUUUAUUUCUAUUAUCAAUUUAAUUGUAUGUUUAUUAAGUCGUGUUUGUAACAGGUCCAUCUAAUAUCCAGGGAGCUCAUUAGUUUUUAGGACUCUACUUUACUAAGCUUAUGUAAAAAUUUAGCUCAAGCAUAAUAGUAUUAGUUAGAUUAUGUAGUAUGCUUUUGUGUAAACUUUGAUGUAUAUAAAAAUCUUAGCUCAACAUGUAGUAUAUUAAUUAUGUAAACUCUGAUAUAAUAUAUGAACCAGACUCCUUAGUUAUCCUAUAAUUAAUCCUUUUGAAACUUUUUAGAAUACUUAUGUUAUAUUUUAAAUUCUCUCAUUACAUGUUAGUAUCCCUUUUCCUUUCAGAAUUUAUAAUAUGAUAUGUGAGCUAUGUUUAUAUUGAUCUUGUUCAUAGGGUAUAUAUGUAUAAAUUGUGUGGAUAGAUUGUUUGAGCUGUCAAGUAUAGAUGAUGGAAUUAAAGUUCGGAACUGUGGGGCCUUAUUGUGAAGGAUUAGGUUGUGUUUUUUUUCUGUUGGCUUUUGUGUUUGCGUGAAACAAACGCAGCAAGAUGUUUGGUAACAAACCAAACUAUGUUUUAUACUACGGGGCCUCCUAAAAAAUUGAGUUUGAAGCACAGUUUUUGUGUAGCAGUUUUUACAUGCCUUUUUAACCAAGUUUCGUUAAAUCCUGUUUGUUUUUGCGUUUCAAAAGUACUUUUGAAAAAAUAGAUUUUUUUUUUUAUUUUUUUCUUUACUUCAAAUUAUUUUUUUUUGGUGUUUUCAGAUUAUUUUGAUACGCUGAUAUCAAAAAUAAUUUUUUAAAAAAUAAAAAAACACUAUUUUAAUGCAUUUUCAAGUAAAGAACACUUUGAAAAGCAACCGCAAUCACACUCAAACACAACAUCAAACAUUUUAUACAUGUUUUUCGCUAUACAUAAACUUCAGCCAUAAUUUUUACUAAACUCGUAUGUAAAUCCAACUAACCAUAGUUAAUCGUACUUUUUUAAAACUUACUUUUUUUCAAACUAUAACCACAAAAGCAACCUAAAAACAAGCACACUCUUAAUAUCAAUGUUGUAGACUUAUACUGUAAGAUAUUGACCUAGUAUUAAAAUACUUGCUUUUCAUUGAAAUCUCAAAAAUUUCUACAAAAUUUUCUCAUUUAAAAAAAAAAGUGUUUUAUUUGACGUGUAUAUAGCCAAGUCUCUCAAAAAAUAAAAAUCAUAUUUUGUCUUAAAACAAAAUAUAAAAAAUACAUGGUAUGAUUUAACAUUUUUUUAUAUACAUAAAAAUUGAAAAAUUACCUUUGCAUAUUAUUUUAGAUUUAAUAAUCAGUUUAUUGAAUUCAUUAGAACUUAGUCAAUAUUUCAAAAAUCCUUUUUUUUUUCUGAGAAUUAAUGGUCACCAUUCUAAUAUGAAUAUUGGACCUACAAGUAGGUUGAUAUUUAAAUACCAAGAGUUGAUUAGAAAAAUCUCAAAAUUAUUUUGGACAUUCAUCAAUUUUAUUUUGGAGUAUUUUCACCAUGACAUAUAAGUUGUGGAAAACUAUUUCAUCUUCUAUGAUAGGUGAACCUUAUUAGGGUACCUACAUGAAUUUUUUCUCACAAGAAUUUAUAUGGGUAUAUGAGCCUAUAAUAAAUUCAAAAUAUUAGAUUUAUUCACGAAGAUAAAUUUGUCUUAAGCCAUGGACGAACCAUCAGUUAGCAACCCAUUAAUACCUUUAAGCCACAUUUAGACCAUACAAUGCAACUUAUCUCAGGUAAAGUACGUUAGUGGUAAUAAUAUAUUUUCUUGCCACAACCAAUCUCUUACCCUAAAAUUUCCUAUACUAGUCCACCUAGAUCUCCAAGUGGCCCUGUAGCAUUUUAACCAACAUGAUAUAUGUACGCACUCCUUUAUAGGCAACAAUGCAAAAUCAAACAAAAAAAAAUUAACUUAUAACAUACCUUUUUGGCAAGAUUUCCGGUUCUUCUUGAAAUUAAAAAGGAAUUUUUGAAAAUUAUAAGAAAUAAAAAAGGAAAAGGUGUUAAAGGGUCACUUAGGCAAUGAUGUCUAUAUUAAGGUUCCAAAAAGGUUUAUUGGUGGUAUCGAUGGAUGUAGGGUCGAUGCUAUUUGAUAGUGAAUGAAUUUCAUUAUUAGCAUCAUCAGUAAAUGAAGAUGAGCAAGGAACUAUAUGACUAUAAUGAAAAACACUAAUGGUACUAGAAGCACAACGACAACAACAAUAAUAGUUUUAUGAUUGAUUCAUCAUUUCUUCUUAAAAAAAGGGUUUAUUCAAGUAAGUGGUCAAUGGAAAUACCUUUGUUAGGUUUAUCUUGUUUGAGUUGCUUAACAUUGUCAUCGUCCUCAUCUAUAUCAAUAUGGUAAAAUGGUUAUUGACAAGGUGGUGGAAGUAAAUCUACUUGGUUUGGUGGCUUAACCAUUGCGGGGUAAAAAGUAACUAAAUUUGGCAUAAUUUAUCUCUUCAAUUGUUAUCGCACAUCAUAAACCAAUAAUAGUACAUCGACAACCACAUCCAACACUAAUAACCACAUGAGAUUCAACCUUAAUAGCCACCUGAGAUCCACCACCAAAUGGAGACAUGAGGAAAGGUAUGGCAUUCCACCAUAAAAAAUUUCAUUUCAUGAGAAGGUCAGAAACACUAUAAAUGUAUUUCACAUUUAUUCUAAAAAAUAUAGGUAUUUGGUUGUUUAAGACAAGAAAAAUAAGAGAAAUCCGUUAAAAAAAUUAGAUUAACAUAUUGAUUUGGGUUUAGAUUAAUUAAUGUUUGAUUAAGGUUAGAUUGGAAGGGAAAUUGGUGUAUAAAAGAGAGACAAAGUGAAAAAAAAAUCAUUUACCUCAAUUUUAUAAAUAAUAUAUAUGAUGGUACUUUAAUUAUUUUGUUCAAUUUAAAAAUUUGAAUUCACCUGAACUAUAGUUUCUAAAAAAAUGGAAGCAUAGUAAAGAAAAUAACUAAAUUACAAGAUGAAUAGAGGAAUUUUCCUAUUAUUUUAUAGUUGUUAGUAAUAAUAAUAUAUAUAGAUACCACUCCAACUUUUUUAAAGUGACUAAUUUAGCCUCCUUUGACUUUUAUUUUUGGAUUUUAAAUUUCAUGACAUUAAAUAUUCAAAUUCUUUUCAAGAAAGUCUUAUAAUUGGAAAACCAUAUACAAAUACAAUGAACUAUUCUCUUAAUUUUUAGGAUUAUGUUAAAUUAUGUUUCAUUUUUAUUUAUUUCCCAUGUUUUUAGGAGAUAUUAUUAUUAGCCUUGCUAAAUAUGAUACGAAUUAUAAAAUUUUAUUAUCAUUAUAGAAAAUUAAUUAUUUAUAUAUCAUAUUACAUGUAACAUUAUUUAUUAAGUCCAUAUCAUGAAUUUUGAAAUUUAUGUUUUUUUUAAGAUAAAAAAUUUCACAAAUAGUUUGUAAAAGUAUUUAUUAGGAUUGUAUGAUAAAAAGAGAGACUACUUUGGUAAUGACUGAGAAGAAAUAACAAUACUCUCGAAAAGUAAUGAAUAGUCGAAUGUAUGACAAAAAGAGAGAUUAGAUUUUUUUUUAAUAUAGAAAUAAACUCAAAAUGACAAAUAAGUAUCUUGUUUUACAUUUAGUAUGUUUUAGACUCAACUGAAUAAUUUAUUUUAUUUUGUUUUUGAUAGAUAAUAAACAAGAUCUGAUCAAUUCAAAGUUUAAACUAGUUCAAGUUAAAAAAAAAAAAAUGAUUGAUCCAACCUAACCUUGUAAAAAAAAUGUUUUUUUAUUUUAUUUUUUUGACAUGUUUUUUAAAAUAGUUUUUUAAAGCAACAAAUUAAUAUUUAUUAAUAUUAUUUUUUAAUGAUUGUCAAUUAAAAAAACAAUAAAAAAAUAUUAUUUUAAUAUAUUUUUAAUUAAAAAAUAUUUUUUAAAAACUUUGUCCACUGUAUUAUCUAACACACACUUGAAAACCUGGAAAUUGCAGCAUUUAUAAAAAAUGACAUCUUUUUUUUUUCUCUCAAGUAUAAGGCAAGAAUCCAACUAUAAAUCUCACUGAUCUAAUGACCUAUACAUAUAUUCUUAUCUGAAUUUUUCAGAAGAUUCUAAACUUUUUACUAAAUGAUGUGGUGUUUUUUUAUUAGAUAUUUCAUUCUAAUAAUUAUGAAUGCAAUAAAUUUCAUACUCUAUCAUUUAAUAACUUUCCCUAUAACAAAUACCAUCAUUAAUAAUAGGAAUUUUGUAAAAAGUUUUAAUACCUUUAGCAUUUUUUAAUUAGUUUAAAUACUCAAACAAAAAAAAAAGUAUUAACAAAUACCUAAAAAGAUUCAGUGAUUCAUUACAAAUCAAGAUACAAAACAUUAUGGAUAUUCGUGGGUAAUUAAACAUUUUUUAAGCACUAAGAAAUAACUUUUAUUAUUAUUAUUAUUAUUAUUAUUAUUAUUAUUAUAUCACCAAGGAGAUUUUUGGCGUUCUUAAUUUUUAUGAGCAGUAAAUUGAAGAAAUUACCUUUUUAAUUUUUAUGAGCUGUAAAUUGGAGAAAUUACUAUUAAAAGCACAAAAAAAAAAAGAGAUAACUUAGCAUGCAAGUGUAUUUUUGUAUUUUCAUUUUAUUUUCUGGUAUAAUUUAUUUGGGAGAGGAGCAAUUAAGUUUGGUUGGUUAAAGUCAAAUAUUGUUUUUGAGAAUAUCAUAUUUUUAUUUGAUUUAUUAAAAAUUAAUUUUUAAUUUUUUUUAAUAUUUUUUUAAUGAUAUUAUCUCGUUUUUAUGUGAUCACGUAGUUUGAGGAUGAACCCAGUUCAACUAGGGAUUUUUUUGUUUUGUUUUAAAUUUCAGGUAAAUUAAGGAUUUUUUAACUAAAGAAUAUUUUUAAUAUUAAGUUGUUUUAUAAUUUAGGUAAACUUAAAACGUGUUUUUUUUUUUUGAAUUAUUUUUUAUUAAUAUAUUUUUUAAAUCAUAUUGUUUAAAUUAUCGAUUAAACUAAUAAUUGGAUUCUCAUAUUAUUAUUUGUUUCCUCAGCAUUUUUCAUGAGAAAAAUUUUGCCCCCCUCGGUGGAUCACAGGGCACAAAUCUAGUAUCUACCUCAAGCUCAACGACAAAUCAGCCAAGCCAAUCUUCCAAAACUAAGCUCAGGAGUCGGUUCAUUGAGCUCCAGCUCCAGCACCAGCACCAGCACACCUCACCAUUCAUUUAAAGAUUGUCCCAUAGCUCCUCUAACUUGAGCUCUCUUCUCUACAUGAUUUUUCCUGAUACAUACCAACCACAACACCUCACAAACAUUAGCAAGAAUCACAGAAAAACCAGACUUGCAAUCACAUCAGAACUUCCUAACAAAAAUGGCUGGAGUUUCAGCUCUCCCUGCAAAGAUUUUACUAUCAAAGCGUGUUCAGGAAAUGGUCCUCAACGAUGAAGAACCACAAAAGCCAUACAUCAGUAGAAAUGAUGGCACUAAUGAAGCAAUUCCCCGUCCCCCAUCUGAUCUGAUUCCGAUCAUAGACCUCAGCCUCCUCUCUUCUUCAGAGCCAUGCUCUGCACAAGAACUGCAGCGGCUUAGAUCAGCUCUUUGUUCAUGGGGCUGCUUUCAGGUAUGAAAUUUUUACCCUUCACGGAGACUGAGACUUGAAAUGAUAGCCCAUAAUACUGAACAUACCACCCAUUAGAAGUCUAAAGCCAGUGUCAAGCAUGAUCUUAGCAAAAAGAUCAAGAGAUGUGUAGGCAAGUUGCAUUAGAAGCAUGAAUAUUCAACAAAAGAUCCAGAAUCAUUAUCUAUAUGCCCUAACUAUAUACCCAGAACCUGACAAAUAAAAGGAAAAAGCUACCUCUUUUGCUUUAUGUUGAGUUGACUUCGUUUUUGUGCUCCCAGCUACGUUGUUAAAACUACUUGUGGAUUUCAGGCAACAGGUCACGGUAUUCCAAAAUCAUUUCUUGAUAAGAUUCGCCAAGUAGCAAGGGAUUUCUUCGAGCAGCCAAUGGAGGAGAAGAAAAGGCAUGCUAAAGGAGUGGAAGAGUUUGAAGGAUAUGGAGCUGAUCCUGUCCCAGCAGAAGGACAGUCGCUUGACUGGUCUGAUCGCUUAUUUCUUAACGUAUACCCAGAAGAUCGAAGGAAGCAUAAGUUUUGGCCAGAGAAUCCAAAAUCAUUCAGGUCUGCAGCAUGCUCUUUGUAUACAUCGACUGCUAGAACAUGUCAAAGAUAGCCUUGGGAAAUUCAGAUAUAUUAUCAGAAAACCUAUAUCCUCAACAAACUCCAGCGAGAUAUUUGUGUGUGUGUGUGUAUUCUCAAUUCUAAACUGUGAUUUAAUUAAUGCACAAAACAUUCCACAUGACAGAACAGUUAAAAAGUAAGAUGUCCUAAACAUAUGUUUCAUAUUAUCUUCUUAAUCAUAAGUAGCAACAGUGAUUCGGAAAGAAUCUGAUAGUUUUCUUGGGAAGAACUGGUCAAAGAUCUUGAUUAUAGGAAUCUAACAAGCAGAACUAGAGGAUUCACAAUGACUUGUUCCACAGAAUUUCAAAGAUUUUCCAUUCAGAUCAGAAUUUUUGUGACUUCUAAUAUGCACACAACAUAUUCAUUAUUAUGCAGAGAGGUUUUAGAAGAAUACACUUCUCGGAUGCAAAUAUUCACAGAGCUUGUCUCAAAAGCUAUGGCAAAGUCAUUGAACUUGGAAGCAGAUUGCUUCCUGAAUCAGUUUGGCAAACAAGCAACACUAAAAGCAAGGUUCAACUACUACUCACCGUGUCAGAGGCCUGAUCUUGUUCUAGGUUUGAGAGCCCAUGCAGAUGGAUCAGGGUACACCAUUAUCUUGCAAGACGAUGUAGAAGGUCUUCAGGUCUUCAAAGAUGAGCGAUGGUUCACAGUUCCUGCAAUUUCUGAUGCUCUCCUAGUACUCAUGGGUGAUCAAAUGGAGGUAUGGUUGAUGGUAAUCUUUUAUGUGAUCUUAACAGGAUAGGGACACUUUGAUACUACAGGCAAGCCCCCAGGAGAAUUUAUGUUUGAAAAUGCUGUCGCCAGAGCUUUUGUUUCACUCUUCUUGCUUGAUCAAUUUAAGCAGCUUUUAUGGUAGCCAUCAUUCUGUCACAACCAGUUGGAAAGGGGUGUUUCUAAGAUUCAGGAACACAUGGUGCUUGCCAAAUGCUCUGUGCCUAAACAUGCUGGAUCUGGCAAAAACAUCUUGACCAGUGCAGUGACAAAAUUCACUUGGCUAGAUAAAUGUUAAGGAAAAAAUGUAUUACAUAACAGGUGUCUCGAACAUUAUAAACUCUAACUAGCAAUUUUGGUAUUACAAAACAUCUCAUGACUGAUUACCUAAGUUAAUGCAGAUAAUGACCAAUGGGGUGUUCAAGAGCCCAGUUCAUAGAGUUUUGACCACCUCAGAGAAGGAGAGGAUUUCUGUGGCUGUCUUCUACGCACCUGAACCAAAUAAAGAGAUUGGACCAGAAGAAGGUUUGAUCAAUGAGGAAAGAAAACAAAUAUACAAGAAAGUGAAAGAGUAUUCUGUUGUGCACUGGGAACACUACCAGCAAGGAAAGAGGGCAAUUCAUGUGGCAAAAGUUUAGAGCUGUGCCAUCAGCAUGAUGCCUUGUGGUUUUUAUCACAUCAUCUUUAUACACGUUGCCUGAUAAUGUCGUGUGUAUUGUUGAUAAUUUAUGUACAUUAUCGAUCUGGAGAAGUUUCCUAAAACUACUCCCUCGUUAUUUCCCAUCAUUUAGCUCCAUGUUAAUAUGAUUGAAGGUAUUGCUGCUAAAAUCUAUUCAGG
rnacentral:lncRNA from 1 species